rnacentral:rRNA from 1 species
UCCGGUUGAUCCUGCCGGAGGCCACUGCUAUCGGGCUCCGACUAAGCCAUGCGAGUCUAGGGGCUCUUCGGAGCACCGGCGGACUGCUCAGUAACACGUGGACAACCUACCCUCGGGUGGGGGAUAACCUCGGGAAACUGAGGCUAAUACCCCAUAGACCUCGGAUACUGGAAUGUUCCGAGGCUGAAAGCUCUGGCGCCCGAGGAUGGGUCUGCGACCUAUCAGGUAGUUGGUGGUGUAAAGGACCACCAAGCCUACGACGGGUACGGGCCCUGAGAGGGGAAGCCCGGAGAUGGACUCUGAGACACGAGUCCAGGCCCUACGGGGCGCAGCAGGCGCGAAACCUUCGCAAUGUGCGAAAGCGCGACGAGGGGAGCCCGAGUGCCCUUCCUUCGGGGAGGGCUUUUCUGGAGCCUAAAAAGCUCCAGGAAUAAGGGCUGGGCAAGACGGGUGCCAGCCGCCGCGGUAAUACCCGCAGCUCAAGUGGUGGCCGCUUUUAUUGAGCCUAAAGCGUCCGUAGCCGGACCCGUAAAUCCCUGGGUAAAUCCUGGCGCUCAACGUCAGGAAUUCCGGGGAGACUGCGGGUCUUGGGACCGGGAGAGGCUGGAGGUACUCCCGGGGUAGCGGUGAAAUGCUGUAAUCCUGGGGGGACCACCUGUGGCGAAAGCGUCCAGCUUGAACGGCUCCGACGGUGAGGGACGAAGGCCAGGGGAGCGAACCGGAUUAGAUACCCGGGUAGUCCUGGCUGUAAACGCUGCCCGCUUGGUGUUGCCGGUCUUUCGGGGGCCGGCAGUGCCGGAGCGAAGGUGUUAAGCGGGCCGCUUGGGAAGUACGGCCGCAAGGCUGAAACUUAAAGGAAUUGGCGGGAGAGCACUGCAACGGGAGGAGCGUGCGGUUUAAUUGGAUUCAACGCCCGGG